CCAUUCUUCAUAUUUUAAUUAUUUUCAUCUCUUAUUUGAUCGUUUACGAGUUUUAACUUAAUUCAAGUUGGGUCCAGGGUUCGAAUGUAUAUUGCAAACGAGGUCCCUCAACUUCAACGGCGAGACGAGUGUAGAUCUGGCCAAGGAAGAACAAAAAGGUCAAAAACGAACAAUGUGGAUGGUAUAUAGUUCAAGAAACAAGACAAUGAUACAGUUUCGGAUAUAAUGAGUACCCGUUUCCCACCCCGAACAUAUUUACGAGUACCGGUACUACCCGGGACACCGAAAAUCGAGCUGGGUUCAAAAUCCCCACGUUUGUUUGUUUGUUUGCACGGAAGACCUAGCCUCUCUGAAUGAACACCCCAUGUCACCUAAUACCUGCCUGCUGUUAUUGUAGAAACAGACAAAACCUAACUUUGAACACAAGUAAGGUUUUGUUUGACCCCAUGUUGAAAACGUUUUAUUUUGGUUUCAUAUACGACUUACAAAACUACGUACGUACCAUUUGGAUUGAGCUCAGUGAUGUUUGCUGCAAAGGGGGGGUGGUCGUGGUGGCUGCUGAGUCCAUGCCGACAUCAAAUCGAUUCUUUAAUUCCAUUCGUCUAUUAGCUGCUGAUGGCUUGAUGCUUCCUUCUUAUGCCAACUGGGUGCCAUUUGUUUUCCUGCAUUGAUGACGUUUUCUUCUGCAUCUUAUCUCAAAAGCUUUGUUUGAAACAGCCUCGAGCAUCUUCUGAUCAUUCUAUCUGUAAAAGGAGAAUAUGAAUUAUUAUUGAAUGAAUAGUAUGUGGUUCUCUUAUGAGGGCUUUAUUUUGAGUUUAUUAGGGCUUUAUUUUGAAUUUAUUAAAACUUUAUUUUGAAUUUAUGAUGACCUUAUUUUAAGCUCACAUAUUACUUUUUAUGGGUCGUGUGAUAUUUUCCAUUCUUCAAUAGACAUGACUUAAACUAUCUCACGCUUUCAUUUUGCUUAUACGUUUCCUAUAACAAAAGAAAAGUUUUAUCUAUCUCCAUUUAGUCUUUAAAACUUUCCACAAUAUAAUUCUAAUAUCAUUAAAACAACAAACAUGAAACUGAAAAAUGAAAAGCUCGCGAGCAAAUUUGAAGAUUAGCAUUUCAUCCGGUCAUAUUCACAAAUAGAUAAACCAAUUCUAGUAUGUCUACAACAGCAUACUUGGAAGCCAAGCCUUUUUCGAAAAAAAACUUAUUCGUGACUCGACUCGAUUUUAAAUGAACCAACUUGAAUAUUAGCUCGAGUAUACUUUAACUUAAUAGACUUAAUGAUGUGUACGUGCUAAUGAGGAACAUUGUUUAGGUUAGUAAUAACUUGUAAAAUUUAGGACAGCUUUGUUUUUUAGCUUGUCUCGUCAACAUUUUCUAGUGGUACAAGCUUCAAAUGGAGCUCAAAUUGGGUUCAUGAGGGGGUUUCAAUGACCGAAAUUCGAAUUGAACUCAAGUUUGGCUCGUCAAGCCUAAUUGACGAGCUAGGCUCGAGUUCGACUCAGCUCAAUCAAGCCACAAUUUCAGACGGUAACUGGAAAGCGGAAUUUUAACAAUUAGAAAACAUCUUACCACAAUUGCCACCAUAGUUGAGCUCGGCCUUACCUCAAUCCGGAAACUGAUGUUCGAAACUUAGGUGCCUCCUGUACAAAUGUACAUGAUUCAAGCUCUAAACUUGAUCCUCAAAUGGCACCAACUCUUCCAACAGAGGAAAUCCCAAUUGCACAGAUCCCAAUAUACUCCACUAGGUGUUACACGCCUGUGAUCAUAAACCAGUACACAGGUGUUCCCUAACGAAUCUGGAUUUGGUAAGUAGUU
rnacentral:lncRNA from 1 species